ACCCAUCACCAUGCACAACCACCCAUCAGCAGGUCCAACCACCCAUCACAGGAGGCCCAAGCACCCAUCAGAAGAUCCAAGCACCCAUCGGAAGGCCCAAGCACCCAUCGGCUCCUGCUGCCCCCCAACCUUUGGGGCUGAGGUCCAUGCCCUCCACGUAGAAGACCCCGUUGCGCAGGGCGAUCUCCUGCAGGAUGAUGC